rnacentral:tRNA from 1 species
GAGAAGAAAGCAUAUAUGCGAUUGACUUGAAAUCAAUAGAUGGUGGUUAGGUCCACCUCUUCUUG